rnacentral:rRNA from 1 species
ACUAAGCGUACACGGUGGAUGCCCUGGCAGUCAGAGGCGAUGAAGGACGUGCUAAUCUGCGAUAAGCGUCGGUAAGGUGAUAUGAACCGUUAUAACCGGCGAUUUCCGAAUGGGGAAACCCAGUGUGAUUCGUCACACUAUCAUUAACUGAAUCCAUAGGUUAAUGAGGCGAACCGGGGGAACUGAAACAUCUAAGUACCCCGAGGAAAAGAAAUCAACCGAGAUUCCCCCAGUAGCGGCGAGCGAACGGGGAGCAGCCCAGAGCCUGAAUCAGUGUGUGUGUUAGUGGAAGCGUCUGGAAAGGCGCGCGAUACAGGGUGACAGCCCCGUACACAAAAAUGCACAUGCUGUGAGCUCGAUGAGUAGGGCGGGACACGUGGUAUCCUGUCUGAAUAUGGGGGGACCAUCCUCCAAGGCUAAAUACUCCUGACUGACCGAUAGUGAACCAGUACCGUGAGGGAAAGGCGAAAAGAACCCCGGCGAGGGGAGUGAAAAAGAACCUGAAACCGUGUACGUACAAGCAGUGGGAGCACGCUUAGGCGUGUGACUGCGUACCUUUUGUAUAAUGGGUCAGCGACUUAUAUUCUGUAGCAAGGUUAACCGAAUAGGGGAGCCGAAGGGAAACCGAGUCUUAACUGGGCGUUAAGUUGCAGGGUAUAGACCCGAAACCCGGUGAUCUAGCCAUGGGCAGGUUGAAGGUUGGGUAACACUAACUGGAGGACCGAACCGACUAAUGUUGAAAAAUUAGCGGAUGACUUGUGGCUGGGGGUGAAAGGCCAAUCAAACCGGGAGAUAGCUGGUUCUCCCCGAAAGCUAUUUAGGUAGCGCCUCGUGAAUUCAUCUCCGGGGGUAGAGCACUGUUUCGGCAAGGGGGUCAUCCCGACUUACCAACCCGAUGCAAACUGCGAAUACCGGAGAAUGUUAUCACGGGAGACACACGGCGGGUGCUAACGUCCGUCGUGAAGAGGGAAACAACCCAGACCGCCAGCUAAGGUCCCAAAGUCAUGGUUAAGUGGGAAACGAUGUGGGAAGGCCCAGACAGCCAGGAUGUUGGCUUAGAAGCAGCCAUCAUUUAAAGAAAGCGUAAUAGCUCACUGGUCGAGUCGGCCUGCGCGGAAGAUGUAACGGGGCUAAACCAUGCACCGAAGCUGCGGCAGCGACGCUGAUGCGUUGUUGGGUAGGGGAGCGUUCUGUAAGCCUGCGAAGGUGUGCUGUGAGGCAUGCUGGAGGUAUCAGAAGUGCGAAUGCUGACAUAAGUAACGAUAAAGCGGGUGAAAAGCCCGCUCGCCGGAAGACCAAGGGUUCCUGUCCAACGUUAAUCGGGGCAGGGUGAGUCGACCCCUAAGGCGAGGCCGAAAGGCGUAGUCGAUGGGAAACAGGUUAAUAUUCCUGUACUUGGUGUUACUGCGAAGGGGGGACGGAGAAGGCUAUGUUGGCCGGGCGACGGUUGUCCCGGUUUAAGCGUGUAGGCUGGUUUUCCAGGCAAAUCCGGAAAAUCAAGGCUGAGGCGUGAUGACGAGGCACUACGGUGCUGAAGCAACAAAUGCCCUGCUUCCAGGAAAAGCCUCUAAGCAUCAGGUAACAUCAAAUCGUACCCCAAACCGACACAGGUGGUCAGGUAGAGAAUACCAAGGCGCUUGAGAGAACUCGGGUGAAGGAACUAGGCAAAAUGGUGCCGUAACUUCGGGAGAAGGCACGCUGAUAUGUAGGUGAAGCGACUUGCUCGUGGAGCUGAAAUCAGUCGAAGAUACCAGCUGGCUGCAACUGUUUAUUAAAAACACAGCACUGUGCAAACACGAAAGUGGACGUAUACGGUGUGACGCCUGCCCGGUGCCGGAAGGUUAAUUGAUGGGGUUAGCGCAAGCGAAGCUCUUGAUCGAAGCCCCGGUAAACGGCGGCCGUAACUAUAACGGUCCUAAGGUAGCGAAAUUCCUUGUCGGGUAAGUUCCGAC